UACGAAGGGGGCUAGCGUUGUUCGGAAUUACUGGGCGUAAAGCGCACGUAGGCGGACAUUUAAGUCAGGGGUGAAAUCCCAGAGCUCAACUCUGGAACUGCCUUUGAUACUGGGUGUCUUGAGUAUGGAAGAGGUGAGUGGAAUUCCGAGUGUAGAGGUGAAAUUCGUAGAUAUUCGGAGGAACACCAGUGGGCGAAAGGCGGCUCACUGGUCCAUUACUGACGCUGAGGUGCGAAAGCGUGGGGAGCAAACAGG
rnacentral:rRNA from 1 species